CUACGGGAGGCUGCAGUGAGGAAUAUUGCACAAUGGGGGGAACCCUGAUGCAGCAACGCCGCGUGGAGGAUGACGCAUUUCGGUGUGUAAACUCCUUUUAUAUGUCAAGAAAAUGACGGUAGCAUAUGAAUAAGCACCGGCUAACUCCGUGCCAGCAGCCGCGGUAAUACGGAGGGUGCAAGCGUUACUCGGAAUCACUGGGCGGAAAGGACGCGUAGGCGGGUUGGAAAGUCAGGUGUGAAAUCCUACAGCUUAACUGUAGAACUGCACUUGAAACUUCUAAUCUAGAGUAUGGGAGGGGGAGAUGGAAUUAGUGGUGUAGGGGUAAAAUCCGUAGAUAUCACUAGGAAUACCUAAAGCGAAGGCGAUCUCCUGGAACAUUACUGACGCUAAGGCGUGAAAGCGUGGGGAGCAAACAGGAUUAGAUACCCCUGUAGUC
rnacentral:rRNA from 1 species